rnacentral:lncRNA from 1 species
GCAAGAGUUCCUUUAUUUUAGGGCUUUAGCAAAAGAGAAAAAACCCUAUCAGAUCUCUAUCCACAUCUAUCCAUCCGGUUAUCUAUCCAGUUAUCUAAUAAUUCUUUCUUUAUUAUAAUCUUUAUCCAUGGCCUCAUUCUUCCAAAUAUUCUACUCUCUAUCUCCUUUUGGGGACCAAGCUACAAGACAAGCUGAGGGAGGAAGAAAACGUGGACGUUAGUUACUCUUUGUGCGUGCUGCCAGGACGUGACUGCCGUUCAGAAGCAGAGACAAAGCAGCCGAGCCACGAGCCACGAGCCUCUCCUGCCCCGGUGAUGCUCUCCGUGCCCACAUGCAGCAGCAGGACAAAAGCAUCUCCCUCAUCCCUGGGGCAUAAAGGGAAUGGUGGAGCAAGAGAAAGCCUCAGAUCUCACUCCUUGUGAAUGGGAAAAAAUGGGUCUUUUCAUUUGGCUCCUGCCCUGCAAACAGAAGACAGGUGAAGGGCCAAAGCUCCUCUCCAGGUAUUCAGCCACCUUUGAACAUGAAGAGGGACUGGGGAGCUCUGCAGAGUGAUGCUCUUUCAGGCUGCAGCUCUCGUUGUUCAUGCCCUGCCAGGGUCCAAGAAAUUCAGCAGCAAAAGCAGAGCUGAGUCUUCUCGUCUCUUGGGGAUCUGUUGUGGUGAGGCUGCCAUCCAGGCACCUUCCUAGCUAGUUAUCUUCAUCAGGGAAGAAGUGGGACAAUUGUCACUGGAUUUUAAGCCAUUGUUUGGGAGCAGAAGGCUUUUGAGACCUCCACUGAAGUACAGCUGAGCUAAUGCAGAUGAAUGCCAAAGAUGGUUGAGGCAAUUUGAUUUAUAGAGAGAGAAAUGUAAGCUAAAGAGAAACUUCCACCAUUGUUAAUGUGGCAGUUUUCCAUGAGUUACCUCUGGUUUUGACUGCUUUUUGGACAUUUAAGGAACAGCAGGUAAAAAACAUAGCUGUUAUUUCUUCCUUACUUAGCUCCUGAAGUUCAAAUGGGACCAAUGUUGUCCAAAGCAUGUGGAGGGGUUCAAAUUUCAGGUGCUCUCAAAGAACAGGAGUAUCUCUGCUUUGGAUUCUGACUUCUGACCAUCUGUCACAUUUAUUGUACUGAUAAUAAUACUGCAGCCCCUUGACACUCUACAUGUCCAGCCUUUUCUGUAAGCAACUUGUUGAAAAAAUGUAAUUUUGGGGAUCCUAAUUUGGUUUAUACAGCUCUG